rnacentral:lncRNA from 1 species
UCGGGGUGCCCGCGGGAAUUCGCGGGCACAGCCGCGUCCAAAAAUAAGCGCCCGAAGGUCGUGGUGCCAAAACCCCCCCAGCGGAAAAAUGGCCAAAAAACGGGUGGGCUAUAGCCUUGGUGGGGGGCGCGGGCGAAGUUCGUCUGCCGGACUCGGAAUGGGGCGAGACUUUGCGAGGGGCCUCGGGGUGCCAAAAAUAAGCCGUGGGAAAAUCCGCGCCCGAAGGUCGUGGUGCCAAAACCCCCCAGCGGAAAAAUGGCCAAAAAACGGGUGGGCUAUAGCCUUGGUGGGGGGCGCGGGCGAAGUUCGUCCGCCGGACUCCGAAUGGGGCGAGACUUUGCGAGGGGCCUCGGGGUGCCAAAAAUAAGUGCCCAAAGGUCGUGGUGCCAAAACCCCCCAGCGGAAUAAUGGCCAAAAAACGGGUGGGCUAUAGCCUUGGUGGGGGGCGCGGGCGAAGUUCGUCCGCCGGACUCGGAAUGGGGCGAGACUUUGCGAGGGGCCUCGGGGGGCCCGUGGGAAGUCGCGGGCACAGCCGCGUCCAAAAAUAAGCACCCGAAGGUCGUGGUGCCAAAACCCCCCAGCGGAAAAAUGGCCAAAAAACGGGUGGGCUAUAGCCUUGGUGGGGGGCGCGGGCGAAGUUCGUCCGCCGGACUCGGAAUGGUGCGAGACUUUGCGAGGGGCCUCGGGGUGCGAACCAUAAGCCGCGGGCAAAGCCGUGCCCAAAAAUAAGUGCCCAAAGGUCGUGGUGCCAAAACCCCCCAGCGGAAAAAUGGCCAAAAAACGGGUGGGCUAUAGCCUUGGUGGGGGGCGCGGGCGAGUUCGUCCGCCGGACUCGGAUGGGGCGAGACUUUGCGAGGGGCCUCGGGGUG